GCUUGGUGUCUUCGCUUCGGCAAGGCCCUUGCUUAAAUCACAUCCUAACACCUGUGAACUGUAAGACGUAUGAUGAGGUCUUUGGCCAAGUCAUCGUCUGCCCAUUUUUAACAAACAAUUAAUGUAACAAACGUAGUCUUAUUAUAACCUAAUAAAACUUUCAACAACGGAUCUCUUGGCUCUCGCAUCGAUGAAGAACGCAGCGAAAUGCGAUAAGUAAUGUGAAUUGCAGAAUUCAGUGAAUCAUCGAAUCUUUGAACGCACCUUGCGCUCUUUGGUAUUCCGAAGAGCAUGCCUGUUUGAGUGUCAUGAAAAUAUCAACCUUGACUUGGGUUUUGUGCUCUAGUCUUGGCUUGGAAUUGGGUGCUUGCCGCUUUUACGAGCGGCUCACCUUAAAUGUAUUAGCUGGAUCUGUCUUUGAGACUUGGUUUGACUUGGCGUAAUAAGUAUUUCGCUAAGGACAUUCUUCGGAGUGGCCUCGUUUCUAGGACGCUUGUCCGCUUCCCAAUACAAGUUCCACCUCGUGGACAUGACUUUUUUAUUAUCUGGCCUCAAAUCAGGUAGGACUACCCGCUGAACUUAAGCAUAUCAAUAAGCGGAGGAA
rnacentral:rRNA from 1 species